rnacentral:lncRNA from 1 species
GCAGGCUGAGAGCAGAGCCUGAGUGCGCCGCCGGUUCAGCCGGGCAGGGUCGCCUCGCGCCAGGAUGCUGCGCCCCGCCGCCCUGUCCAGCCAGCAACCCUGGCGCGACCCCGGGAAGAAGCACAGGUUCUUUCGUCCAGUCGCCGCUGGAGGACCGAAAGUUUUGCUCGCUGCAAGUCUCUUCCUCCCAGAGUCCCAGUCACCCACCAUGCGACGUCCCAGAAGGAUCCCGGAGGCUUAGUGGGAACGAAAUCGGCUGUUUUGCACCCCUCCAUCCUUAUCCCUCAGGGUAGAGCAGGGACUCUAGAGAGUACACCUCCCAGCUACCAUCCACUUCACCCUGUCUCCUCUCUCGGUGAGCCUUGGAAUCCGGUCUCUUCGCAGAUGCCUUCAGGAGUCAGAAGCAAAGGGGAAAUGGACAUAACUCCGAGAAACCGGUUUUAUUUCACAUUUAGAUACG